CAACAUAGUUUGACCUAUACUCAGAAAAAAAUGAUUUAGACACUAAUAAAUCAAUUUGUUUUUAUAUUAAUUUCUCAGAAUGAAGAAUAAUGAAGAGGCAUGAUCUUUAUCAAACGUGAUUUAUUUCUCAGCCAUAUGGAUAGUAUUCUCACUGUGGAAGUUAUUUGAUAUCAAUGAUUUGGGUCAUACAAAAUGUUCUAUGCAAUCCAUUUGAAAGAAAAGAAGUAUCAUAUCUCCUAAAUUACC
rnacentral:lncRNA from 1 species